rnacentral:rRNA from 1 species
UUCGGUUUUAACCUCUUUCAGUAGGGAAGAAGCGAAAGUGACGGUACCUGCAGAAGAAGCACCGGCUAACUACGUGCCAGCAGCCGCGGUAAUACGUAGGGUGCGAGCGUUAUCCGGAAUUAUUGGGCGUAAAGAGCUCGUAGGCGGUUUGUCGCGUCUGUCGUGAAAGUCCGGGGCUUAACCCCGGAUCUGCGGUGGGUACGGGCAGACUAGAGUGCAGUAGGGGAGACUGGAAUUCCUGGUGUAGCGGUGGAAUGCGCAGAUAUCAGGAGGAACACCGAUGGCGAAGGCAGGUCUCUGGGCUGUAACUGACGCUGAGGAGCGAAAGCAUGGGGAGCGAACAGGAUUAGACACCCUGGUAGUCCAUGCCGUAAACGUUGGGCACUAGGUGUGGGGACCAUUCCACGGUUUCCGCGCCGCAGCUAACGCAUUAAGCGCCCCGCCUGGGGAGUACGGCCGCAAGGCUAAAACUCAAAUGAAUUGACGGAA